rnacentral:rRNA from 1 species
AUUGAACGCUGGCGGCAUGCUUUACACAUGCAAGUCGAACGGUAACAGGCCUUCGGGUGCUGACGAGUGGCGAACGGGUGAGUAAUACAUCGGAACGUACCCAGAGGUGGGGGAUAACGCAGCGAAAGCUGUGCUAAUACCGCAUGUGAUCUGAGGAUGAAAGCGGGGGACCGAGCAGCAAUGUUUGGCCUCGCGCCUUUGGAGCGGCCGAUGUCGGAUUAGCUAGUUGGUGGGGUAAAGGCCUACCAAGGCGACGAUCCGUAGCUGGUCUGAGAGGACGACCAGCCACACUGGGACUGAGACACGGCCCAGACUCCUACGGGAGGCAGCAGUGGGGAAUUUUGGACAAUGGGCGCAAACCUGAUCCAGCAAUGCCGCGUGCGGGAAGAAGGCCUUCGGGUUGUAAACCGCUUUUGGCAGGAACGAAACGGUGUCCGCUAAUACCGGGCGCUAAUGACGGUACCUGCAGAAUAAGCACCGGCUAACUACGU